UACAGAGGGGGCAAGCGUUGUUCGGAAUUACUGGGCGUAAAGGGCGCGUAGGCGGAAUGGCAAGUCGGUCGUGAAAUCCUUCGGCUCAACCGAAGAACGUCGAUCGAAACUGCCGUUCUUGAGGAUUGCAGAGGAGACUGGAAUUCCCGGUGUAGCGGUGAAAUGUGUAGAGAUCGGGAGGAACACCGGUGGCGAAGGCGGGUCUCUGGGCAAUUCCUGACGCUGAGGCGCGAAAGCGUGGGGAGCAAACGGG
rnacentral:rRNA from 1 species